AACGAACGCUGGCGGCGUGCUUAACACAUGCAAGUCGAACGGGAAGGCCCUUCGGGGUACACGAGUGGCGAACGGGUGAGUAACACGUGGGUGAUCUGCCCUGCACUUCGGGAUAAGCCUGGGAAACUGGGUCUAAUACCGGAUAGGACCACUGCCUGCAUGGGUGGUGGUGGAAAGCUUUUGCGGUGUGGGAUGGGCCCGCGGCCUAUCGGCUUGUUGGUGGGGUGAUGGCCUACCAAGGCGACGACGGGUAGCCGGCCUGAGAGGGUGACCGGCCACACUGGGACUGAGAUACGGCCCAGACUCCUACGGGAGGCAGCAGUGGGGAAUAUUGCACAAUGGGCGCAAGCCUGAUGCAGCGACGCCGCGUGAGGGAUGACGACCUUCGGGUUGUAAACCUCUUUCAGCACCGACGAAGCGCAAGUGACGGUAGGUGCAGAAGAAGGACCGGCCAACUACGUGCCAGCCGCCGCAGUAAGAC
rnacentral:rRNA from 1 species